UCAAGUUGCCCAGCACCAAAUAUUCAUCUCCUACCACUCUAGAUGCCAAUGUUUGUUUUCUGUCUGGGAGAAGAAACAGACAGCACUUUUCACUUUAAUAAAAAUCUUUCAGAAUGAAGCAAACAGAUGACCUAAUUUGGAGGAUCUGCUGCUUUCCUUGGUUUGCCCGUGACUUAGGAGCAGAACUUAAUGCCCCAAAAUCAAGAAGAAGGGGUAAGAAGAAUGCUGAAGAGGAAGAAACAUGAAACCUAAAUCCUCCAUUUCCUACAUCACACCCUGUUGCAUGCUGAAAGAGCAUUCCUGUUGUCACUGAGCUGCAGAAAUUUAGAUUCUGAAGCCCACUGAAGAAAACAAUCACUGCAAAGAAGUACCAAAUCUCUUGCAAACUCUCCCCUGAUCACUGCAUUCAAAGAUCUACCAGCAGCUGUUGAUGUAACGUUAUGGAUGUUUAGCAGGACUUCCUGUAUCUAAUGAACAUAGCUCUUUCAGUGAGGAGACAAAGUGCAAUGCUGUCCCAGGAAAAUAAAAACGAUGUAACAUUCAGUCAGGAAUGCACUUACUACACGGCCUGGAAUCAGGAAUUGAUCUCAUGCCUCUGUAACAAAGAUCCCAUCUGUAGUCCCAUGCGGGGAGGGCACUGACACUGCUUCAGAAGGGAAGUGGUUAUCCUGCUCCCAAAAGGAACUGAUUAGGGGAGAUGUUCCAGAAGCUAUUCGAUACAGACUGCACAAUUCAGGAUGGUAUUUAUACAGUGAGUCAAAAAACUACACAGUAUUCUCAAAUAUUUUAUGUCCAACAGUGCCAACAGCUUUGUCAACUGACAGUGAAAAUUAAACUUUAAGAGAAAUGAGGCGUAUAAGUGUUUUUAAAACCUUGCUCCUUAUUUGUGCCUUUCUGCACAGAGGAUGUGCCCAGGGAUAUGGGAAGCAAAAUACAAAGUUGUGAGGUGGUGUUGGAAACAAGGACGAGGCAACACAGGCAGCUUGUAAGAAAGGCUUUCAGCAUCUUUUGUCAAAUAUCCAACUUGUGGAAACUGUGCAAGCAAGGGAGUUUUGCUUCAUCAAUACUAUAAAAUAAACUGAAGUUAAAAUGGGUGCUGCCCAAUGCAAUUGUCAAACAUUGCUGCCGCAAUACAAAGACAAAUGUUUAUUGGCUUAACUUUGAAACUGCAGUAAAUGCUCUUCUAUUCAAUUAGAUAAACAAAUAAAGUACUGAGUGUAUAAUGGGGUUCUUUCAAGUAAAUUAUGCUUCCUAACUCAUGUGUAA